CGGUGGUUGGCUCAUGUGAAUUUGAACAAUAUUCACACAGGAGCUGAAGUUAAGAAGACAGACGCGGAUGUCACGAGGAAGUUCUGCCCAAGAAGAUGGACUGAUGUGUGGCAGCAAAGGUCUGCUGCCACUGAGCAUGUUUACGAAGGAAACCGAACCUGUUGUUUCAGAGACAGAAAUGGGAGGAGAAGAGAGAAGGAUGACUCCCCCUUUUUCAUGGUGAGCCCCGCUGAGUGAUCGCGUGUUUCUGCUCUGGGUUCUCCAGGCUGCAAAGUAAGUGACUGAUGGCACGGAUGAUGGAGAACUCCUGCUUCCAGACAGAAAGUCCACGGUGCUCCCCUCUGAGCCACCAUACCUCGGGCUGUAUGAAUACUGAACGCUAUGAGUGUGAGUGCUAUUACAUAACUCAGUCUCCACAGCUGGCAGCAGCUAAAUCAUGUUUUUUUUAACUUUCUCUUUGAACUGUACCACAGUUUCAGUCCGUGGGGGAUAAAUCAGCAGUUUUCUCAUCUGAUGAAAGUUUCCUGGUGAUAAAUUUAGACUUUGUCCCGUCUGCGGCUGCUUGUGAUACGAGGAGGAAAGCUGACCCUGUUCUGUCUGCAUUAUUAGGAUCAGAGGGUUUUUUUUUCUCAAAUAGCUGAGAGGAGGAGAUGUGGUGUCGAUAUCAUGCCUUUGCAUAAAAAAACAUACUCCACUGAUAGUUAGGAGAUGUGUAAAUAUUUUUCAAAGUGGAAUGAAACGUCAUGUGUGUUUUUCUUUUUUCUUACGGUGUUGGAGUUCUUUAUCCUUGAAGCAAAUUCCCGAAAUAAAAGCUAACUUGU